rnacentral:misc_RNA from 1 species
GAUGAAGAACGCAGCGAAAUGCGAUAAGUAGUGUGAAUUGCAGAAUUCAGUGAAUCAUCGAAUCUUUGAACGCACAUUGCGCCCCUUGGUAUUCCAUGGGGCAUGCCUGUUCGAGCGUCAUUUGUACCUUCAAGCUCUGCUUGGUGUUGGGUGUUUGUCUCGCCUCUGCGCGUAGACUCGCCUCAAAACAAUUGGCAGCCGGCGUAUUGAUUUCGGAGCGCAGUACAUCUCGCGCUUUGCACUCAUAACGACGACGUCCAAAAGUACAUUUUUACACUCUUGACCUCGGAUCAGGUAGGGAUCCCCGCUGAACUUAAGCAUAUCAAUAAGCGGAGGA